UGGCGGCGUGCUUAACACAUGCAAGUCGAACGGAAAGGCCCUUCGGGGUACUCGAGUGGCGAACGGGUGAGUAACACGUGGGUGAUCUGCCCUGCACUCUGGGAUAAGCCUGGGAAACUGGGUCUAAUACCGGAUAGGACCACACACUUCAUGGUGAGUGGUGCAAAGCUUUUGCGGUGUGGGAUGAGCCCGCGGCCUAUCAGCUUGUUGGUGGGGUAAUGGCCCACCAAGGCGACGACGGGUAGCCGGCCUGAGAGGGUGACCGGCCACACUGGGACUGAGAUACGGCCCAGACUCCUACGGGAGGCAGCAGUGGGGAAUAUUGCACAAUGGGCGCAAGCCUGAUGCAGCGACGCCGCGUGAGGGAUGACGGCCUUCGGGUUGUAAACCUCUUUCAGUAGGGACGAAGCGAAAGUGACGGUACCUACAGAAGAAGGACCGGCCAACUACGUGCCAGCAGCCGCGGUAAUACGUAGGUCCGAGCGUUGUCCGGAAUUACUGGGCGUAAAGAGCUCGUAGGUGGUUUGUCGCGUUGUUCGUGAAAACUCACAGCUUAACUGUGGGCGUGCGGGCGAUACGGGCAGACUAGAGUACUGCAGGGGAGACUGGAAUUCCUGGUGUAGCGGUGGAAUGCGCAGAUAUCAGGAGGAACACCGGUGGCGAAGGCGGGUCUCUGGGCAGUAACUGACGCUGAGGAGCGAAAGCGUGGGUAGCGAACAGGAUUAGAUACCCUGGUAGUCCACGCCGUAAACGGUGGGUACUAGGUGUGGGUUUCCUUCCUUGGGAUCCGUGCCGUAGCUAACGCAUUAAGUACCCCGCCUGGGGAGUACGGUCGCAAGACUAAAACUCAAAGGAAUUGACGGGGGCCCGCACAAGCGGCGGAGCAUGUGGAUUAAUUCGAUGCAACGCGAAGAACCUUACCUGGGUUUGACAUGCACAGGACGUACCUAGAGAUAGGUAUUCCCUUGUGGCCUGUGUGCAGGUGGUGCAUGGCUGUCGUCAGCUCGUGUCGUGAGAUGUUGGGUUAAGUCCCGCAACGAGCGCAACCCUUGUCCUAUGUUGCCAGCGGGUAAUGCCGGGGACUCGUAGGAGACUGCCGGGGUCAACUCGGAGGAAGGUGGGGAUGACGUCAAGUCAUCAUGCCCCUUAUGUCCAGGGCUUCACACAUGCUACAAUGGCCAGUACAGAGGGCUGCGAAGCCGUAAGGUGGAGCGAAUCCCUUAAAGCUGGUCUCAGUUCGGAUUGGGGUCUGCAACUCGACCCCAUGAAGUCGGAGUCGCUAGUAAUCGCAGAUCAGCAACGCUGCGGUGAAUACGUUCCCGGGCCUUGUACACACCGCCCGUCACGUCAUGAAAGUCGGUAACACCCGAAGCCAGUGGCCUAACCUUUUGGAGGGAGCUGUCGAAGGUGGGAUCGGCGAUU
rnacentral:rRNA from 2 species